rnacentral:rRNA from 1 species
AUGAAUUGCAUCGUUUGGAGCUGUCGAGGUGCAGGGAACGCGUCGACAGUUCGAGAUAUCCUCUCUCUCUCUCGAGCCCAUUCCUCUGGUAUGAUUUUCCUGUGUGAAACUAGGCAAAAGAAAGAGAAAAUGUAUCGUCUUCGUAAUAGGCUGGGUCUAAGAGGUUUCGAAGGAGUUAGCAGUGAGGGUAACAGUGGAGGUUUAGCUUUGUUUUGGCAUGAGUCUUUCUAUGUUGAUGCUCGUGAUUGCAAUAAAAGAUGGAUUGAUGUGUAUGUCUGGCUACCUGCUGAUAAUCAACAAUGGCGUGUUACUUUUGUGUAUGGCGAGCCGAGAGUUGAAAAUAGACACUUAAUGUGGGAGGGACUGAAAAGAUUAAGGGCUCAGGAUGAUGUUCCAUGGCUUUUAACUGGUGAUUUUAAUGAAGUUAUGUAG